CAGCAGCCGCGGUAAUACGAAGGGGGCUAGCGUUGUUCGGAAUUACUGGGCGUAAAGGGCGCGUAGGCGGCGCGUUAAGUCAGAUGUGAAAGCCCUGGGCUCAACCCAGGAAUUGCAUUUGAUACUGACGUGCUUGAAUCCGGAAGAGGAUGACGGAAUUCCCAGUGUAGAGGUGAAAUUCAUUGAUAUUGGGAAGAACGCCAGUGGCGAAGGCGGUCAUCUGGUCCGGUAUUGACGCUGAGGCGCGAAAGCGUGGGGAGCAAACAGGAUUAGAUACCCUGGUAGUCCACGCCGUAAACGAUNNNUGCUAGACGUCGGGGGGUUGCCUCUCGGUGUCGCCGCUAACGCAUUAAGCACUCCGCCUGGGGAGUACGGCCGCAAGGUUAAAACUUAAAGGAAUUGACGG
rnacentral:rRNA from 1 species